AAGUCGUAACAAGGUAACCGUAGGUGAACCUGCGGUUGGAUCAUUAACAAAAUUUUAAAAAUUUAAAGAAAGGGAGGGGAAAAAUUCAUUUUUUCCCUCUUCUUUUUUUAAACACAUUUUGUGAACUUUAUUCUGUUUCUUGGUGGUUUAACGGGGGAUCUUUUUACCAAAAAAGCGACCCUUAUUUUUUGUGCUGGAUUUUUUGUCCGGCUCGAAAAAAGUCCACCAGUCUCUAAAAUAAAACUUUUUUUAUUAAUUUCGUUUUUAAAUUCUUUAAAAUUAAAAAAUUAAAAAACAACUUUUGACAACGGAUCUCUAGGCUCUC
rnacentral:misc_RNA from 1 species